CAGCUAUGGGUAGGAAUGAAAAUGCCGCAUGUUUCUGCUGUGCUUUUCAUCUGAGCAUCUUAAAGUGCCUGGCAAGCAUCAAUUACUCUGAGCCUCUGAUCGACAUUUUUAUUUCUGUACGAUACAAGAGGGCUCCUCCGAGGACCUGGGUCACCAACUCAGGAUUUGGAUAGCUUGCAUAAAAGCCUUCAAAUGAGUGCCUCGUUUUCCUCACAGUGGCAUGACAGCAGGCAUAGCUGAGCUUCAAGAGUCUCCUGUGAACAGCGGAAUUUGAACCUGUGACUUUCAGCAUCCAGCGCACAGGCUUCUACCUUAUGAGCUUCCUCUGAAAAACUUGGGACUGAGCACUGUUGCACAGGAUAUUGGACUAGAUGGACCAUUGGUCUGAUGUGCUAUGUACACUCCUAUAAAGGCAUCUGAAUUUCUAUAUGCUGCUUAGGACUUUUCUAUGGAGAUUGGACACCAACCCUUUCCCCCCUUCUGUGUAGUCUUUAGAAAGAGUUGAAGAAGAAAACUAGGUCAAUGGAGGUCUAAUAGCUGACAAAUGCAGGCAUUCCUAACAGGAUGAAUUCUUUUUAGGAUUUACAACCAGCACUAACAUGCUGAAGAUGAGAAAGUUGGUUAAUUUAAUCAGGGCCUGUGACUGCAGUUUCUACCGUCUUCAGUGGAAUUUCAUUUUAGCACAAGGCCCUGAGUGUAUGCUUUCCUUGCUCUCCUGUUUAUGGGAGAGAGCCAGGAAUUUGUGCUGAUCUGUUUCCCCAUCUCUGUUUGAGUCAAGCAGAGAAAGAACAGUGCUCAAAAGAAUUCUCCUCCAUGGGACUCAGGAAGAAUCAACACAGCUCUCUCUCUAUCACUUGUUCCGGUUUGCCCUGUCUACUUAAGGGGACUUAAUAUGAUUGGCACUUUAAAAAGUUUUUUAAAAAGUCUUAUGAUGAUGCAAAGAUUUUGAAAAAUUUCAUUU